UGGGGGCGGGGCCACCCGGAUGCGAGGUCCCGAAACAUUGGUGCGAGCGGGCGGUGCUGGCUGGGGCGCGUGGCGCCCCCUGUCGGCGGGGCCUGGCGGUUCCGUUGGCCUUCCCUCGGGUGCGUCAGUGACUGGGGGCUGCGUGCGAACCGUGAGAAUUUGUUUUCUCUUCUUGCUGUUUUUUGGCUGGAUGUACGACUAAGCGGCCCACACUCCAUGUGUUUCAUUUUGUAUCUCAAUACUGAGCACUUCAGGUUACGUGAAGCUUGAUUGUAGAAAUUAAAGAGCAGUGGGGCACCAGAAACAAGAAGCCAUUGCCAAGUGACGUUGCUCCAGAAGGGCUGUGUCGUUGGUCCCACAUGGAAAGCACCAAUAACACCAUUUAGCACAAGAAGACAAACCCAUCCCGCGCUGGACAAGCAGGUGAAGCUGACUCUGCCGGCCAAGAGCACUCAGAACAUCCUGACAAACCCACCGCACGGGGCACUUUGUUGCACACCUCCCAUCCACGGGACAAAGAGGCAACGCAAAAGCUGAGGUAUUUUUUUCUUGUUGGCCAAGAUAAUCCUCAAAAUUUCCUGUUAUGUUCAAGUGAAGCUUUACCUGUUCUGAAGUAACUUUUUGGCUUCUGUAACACUGAAAACCUAAAACAGAUGUGAGAAACAAGUAUUUUUGCAUGGUCAUGACCUGUGAUCUAUAAUGACAGUGGCGUGGUUCUCAUCUAUGUUAAAAUUACUUCCUUGAAAAAACAAAGUGCAUAGAAUAUUAAAAAAUAUUCUUCAAUUUACUACCGUAUUUUUGAAGCAGUCUAUUACUCCUAUCAGUUUGUGGACAAUUUACAGACUUUUUAAGCUUACCUUUUAAGAGCAGGCACAGACAAAUUGCUUAUAAACUGGUUUUAUACGAAGUUCAGUAUUCACCUCUGAGUGUUUUCUUUGGAAGUUGUAGAGGAAUGCACGUGAGCAUAUAAAAUGAACGUUUUCAGAAAUUCACUGAAGCAGUUAUCAGGAAUAACCGACAGACCCACUUCCCAGCUGCAUUUGCGUUUUUCCGCGUCAGUAUCCACAAAUGAUAGCUUCUGGGAAUGUGGUGGUUCCGAGAAAAAUUGCUGAGGAAAAGUGCAAUGGUUAUUCGCUCCAAUGCCAAUUCACCGUUUUCAGAAAUACAAGAUGUUCUGUAGCCUAUCGGUGAAGAGUAAGUAGCAAAAAUAAACUGGUUCUCAUAAUCCAAGUUGGGGAAUGUAUAUAGUACAUUUUCAAUGCUCAUCUUUUUUCUUGUUAAUCUCUUGCAUGCUCCAUUCUCGUUCCUGGGAACACUCUGAGCCUCCUGGGACACGCUCUGGACAGCUGUGGUGUCGGACAGCCGAGUGUCCCACUGCACGGAGCUGCUGCACGGACUCCGGGCAGUGCUACUGCUACUCACCGAAUCGUCAUGUGCAGCGUCCGACGUGCACUGAAGUAGAAACUCCUGGUUGGUGACUAACGAGCAAGUCCCAAGGACUUGCUUACAUGGAAGAACGGCACGGCUGGCUGUAAAGGUUUUCAGUAUCCUCUCAUUCUGUGGUUUUAAAAGCAUACCUUUUUAUAUUCAAGACAGAUAAUAAAGACAAAAGGAACAUACAAUAAAAAAAUGUAAUCUUUAUUAUUUUGGCGCAUUAAUAAUGUUGUUUAGCAUCAGUUAGGGUAAUAGUAGCAUUUUCCUGCAUGCAGUUCACUAAUACAGUAUUAGUCAAUAAUUUUAAUAAAAGUAAUCUAUAUUUAAUUUUCCUGUGUAAGAAACAUAAAAUGUCCUGAUGUGUUGGAUUAUACAAUUUUGCUACUUUCUCUUUGUGAAAAAAUAUUGUGGACCCAAGAUAACAUUAGUUCUAGUGCAGCAUGAAUAAAAAAAAACUAUGUGAGUAAAUAUGAGAAAAAAUUAAGGACUUUGUGAAACAAAGGUUGUAUCUGAAAACUAAUGAUGCAGGCACUGCUUAGACAUUCAAUUUGAACUUUACACCAUUUCCCAACUGCAAAAAACAAAUGAUGAACUUAUUUCACAGAAUGUAUUGAUAUGUUUGCAAGUAUUGUAAAAGAUCAGAACAUACAGCUAUCCCUUGUUUUAGUUAUCUUGUUCUCUGGAGUUCUUGUGUGAAAAGGUGCUAUGGACAGAAAGUAAUAAAAUGGUGUGACAUCAACUUGAAGAUAAAAUUCAGUUCUUGGUUUAUGUACAUAAUGCUGAAAAAUAAAAUAAAAUGAUUUUUACAGUA